rnacentral:rRNA from 1 species
CCUACGGGUGGCAGCAGUAGGGAAUCUUCCACAAUGGACGAAAGUCUGAUGGAGCAACGCCGCGUGAGUGAAGAAGGGUUUCGGCUCGUAAAGCUCUGUUGGUAGUGAAGAAAGAUAGAGGUAGUAACUGGCCGUUAUUUGACGGUAAUUACUUAGAAAGUCAUGGCUAACUACGUGCCAGCAGCCGCGGUAAUACGUAGGUGGCAAGCGUUGUCCGGAUUUAUUGGGCGUAAAGCGUGUGCAGGCGGUUCAAUAAGUCUGAUGUGAAAGCCUUCGGCUCAACCGGAGAAUUGCAUCAGAAACUGUUGAACUGGAGUGCAGAAGAGGAGAGUGGAACUCCAUGUGUAGCGGUGGAAUGCGUAGAUAUAUGGAAGAACACCAGUGGCGAAGGCGGCUCUCUGGGCUGCAACUGACGCUGAGGCUCGAAAGCGUGGGUAGCGAACAGGAUUAGAUACCCUGGUAGUC